rnacentral:rRNA from 1 species
AGUGAACGCUGGCGGUAGGCCUAACACAUGCAAGUCGAACGGCAGCACAGUAAGAGCUUGCUCUUACGGGUGGCGAGUGGCGGACGGGUGAGGAAUACAUCGGAAUCUACUUUUUCGUGGGGGAUAACGUAGGGAAACUUACGCUAAUACCGCAUACGACCUACGGGUGAAAGCAGGGGAUCUUCGGACCUUGCGCGAUUGAAUUAGCCGAUGUCGGAUUAGCUAGUUGGCGGGGUAAAGGCCCACCAAGGCGACGAUCCGUAGCUGGUCUGAGAGGAUGAUCAGCCACACUGGAACUGAGACACGGUCCAGACUCCUACGGGAGGCAGCAGUGGGGAAUGUUGGACAAUGGGCGCAAGCCUGAUCCAGCCAUACCGCGUGGGUGAAGAAGGCCUUCGGGUUGUAAAGACCUUUUGUUGGGAAAGAAAAGCAGCAGGUUAAUACCCCGCUGUUCUGACGGUACCCAAAGAAUAAGCACCGGCUAACUUCGUG